AGUCUUCUGGGAUGUUCGUUGUUAGCUAUGUCCCUGAGCCGAUAAGUUUUACCUUAGGAAACUUAUCAUUCGCUAUUGUGCAAGCCCAGCUCGUACUGGGAAGCCUACGGCAAAUGUGCAGUUUCCGCCCUGAACACACGGUGUUCAGGACUAAUGUUGACUACGGCAUUCUGGAAGGCUU
rnacentral:other from 1 species